rnacentral:rRNA from 1 species
UGAGGAAUAUUGGACAAUGGGGGCAACCCUGAUCCAGCCAUGCCGCGUGUAUGAAGAAGGCCUUAGGGUUGUAAAGUACUUUCAAACGUGAAGAUAAUGACGGUAGCGUUAGAAGAAGCUCCGGCUAAAUUCGUGCCAGCAGCCGCGGUAAUACGAAUGGAGCAAGCGUUGUUCGGAAUAACUGGGCUUAAAGCGUAUGUAGGCGGACUGUAAAGUCAGGAGUGAAAUCCCGGAGCUCAACUCCGGAACUGCUCUUGAAACUCACAGUCUAGAAUACUGGAGAGGUUGGGAGAAUUCCUAGUGUAGAGGUGAAAUUCGCAGAUAUUAGGAGGAAUACCAGUGGCGUAGGCGCCCAACUGGACAGUUAUUGACGCUCAGAUACGAAAGCGUGGGGAGCAAACAGGAUUAGAUACCCCCGUAGUCC